CGAGUUGACCAGACAAUCGCUGCUUUAUCGUUGUAUUUUAAAUUUCGGUUUGAGAUAGACAGAUAAGGGGGAGGAAAGUCCGGGCUCCAAUGAGCAGGGUGCCAGGUAACGCCUGGGCGGCGUGAGCCGACGACAAGUGCAGCAGAGAGAAGACCGCCGAUGGUUAUCUUUCGAGAUUUCACAGGUAAGGCUGAAAGGGUGCGGUAAGAGCGCACCGGGCGACUGGUAACAGUUCGCAGCAGGGUAAACUCCACCUGGAGCAAGACCAAAUAGGGUUUCAUGAUUAUUUAAAUUCGUUUGAAUAAUAUAAGCGUGGCUCGCGUGGAAACCGGGUAGGUUGCUUGAGCUAUAGAGCGAUUUAUAGCCUAGACGAAUGAUUGUCACUUAACUUUAUUUCGGUAAAGUAAAGAUACAAAACCCGGCUUAUACGGUCAACUCAACUA
rnacentral:RNase_P_RNA from 1 species